rnacentral:lncRNA from 1 species
GUUUUUUUCUGUCUUUUUUUUUCUUUUUACUUUCUUUCUUUCCCCCCUCCCCUCAGAUUCCCUGCCCCCUCAUCUUCUGAAUGACUGGGGUGAUUGCGACAGCAGAACAUUGGUGAUUCAUUUCAACUAGCCUUUUCCAUUAGAGGAGAGAAGACUUAUCCAGCUUGCAGUCACCACUGACUAAUGCCAGAGGAUGCAGAGUUUCCUCAUCUGUAAAAUGAGCCACAGAAGGAAAAGGCACCCCUCGCCAGGAUUUUUGCCAAGAAAACCUCAAAUGGGAUGAUGAAGGAAUGUCUGUGACUAUGUUUGAAGAUUGACUGUUUAGGAGGAUGGCCUUUGAUAGAGAAAUUGGCAAAUCAGAAACAGCUGACAGACUCCUACCAUGAUUGGUGCAGAGGAGACACAGGAAAGGUAGGUAGAAUCGUCUAGCAUUUUUUUUUUUUUGCGGAGCUUCC